UCACGCACUUCCGCCAUAGAGAUGGGAUGGAAGGAGAGGCCAAUGGGCUCUGUGCUGCCUCCUUAGACGGAGAGGAGUCAUCGGCGAUGACUCAGCCUCUGGAACGCAGGUCUGCUCCCCAACUCCGGGCGCAGACACCUGGAUGGGACACCGAUUCCCCCAAGAUGAAGGGAACGCCAUCCGGAGACGUGGCCUGGAGAUGAACCCGGGCUGGUGCAGCCACCUGUCCCCUGGCAGCAUCAGAGUACCCCCAGGGCCUCAGGAAGGAGAAAACCACCUGCCUUAUAGACCAACAUCUUCUGGAGCCUGGACUUAACCAGGAGGAAUCAGCAUAAAAUAUUGAAAGAGUGUCUGAGGAGCCAGAAGAGGGAGACCGAAGGAAGUAGAACCAGCCCUGGAUGGGUGGGGGGAUCAGAACCUAACUCCCAGAGACUGCCAGUCAGGGAAGGGAGUGGCUGAUCUCUCCUCUACCCCUGACACCCUUCAUCUCAGGGACCUUCGAGGCCACAAGACUGACAUCAUCAUCACUACUACCCAUCACUGAACCUUAUUAGGCACAAUGCCAGCACUUCGAAUGCACUAUUGUGUUGAUUUCUCCAACUACCUUUGAAGACUUGAACUGAAACACCUACUCUUCCUGGGUCUCCCGCUCGCUGGCAUUUGGAACUAUACCCCAGCUUUUCUGAGUCUCCCACUUGCUGACUACAGAUCUUGGGACUUAUCAGACCUCCAUAACCACAUGAGCCAAUUCCUCAUAACAAAUUUCUUUCUAUAGAUACACAUCCUAUUAGUUCCGUUUCCCUGGAGAACCCUGACUAAUACACUUGCCAAGGCCACACGCUCCUCUGUCCUCAUUCCACCCACUGUUGUCCCUCCUCCAAAACUCACCUUGUCCCUGGAGCCCUUCCCGCCUGAGGCUGAAGCUGAGCCCCCUCACCUUACUUAUCUCUGGCCAGAUGCUGGCCAAUCCUUGCCUCCUCUUACCUCCCCAAAUCCUUACAGGGCUGUUCCCACUGCACCUCAGACCUUGGGUCCUAUGGCCACAUGGGUGGUCCUGUCAGGGAGGGAGGGUUCAAAAAGCAAGACU